UGUGACAACCAGGAGGUUGGCUUAGAAGCAGCCAUCCUUGAAAGAGUGCGUAAUAGCUCACUGGUCAAGUGAUUGAGCGCCGACAAUGUAGCGGGGCUGAAGUACACCGCCGAAACCGCGGCAGUAAUUGUUUUUACUGGGUAGGGGAGCGUCCUGCGCGAGGUGAAGCCAUGGCGUGAGCUUGUGGUGGAUUGUGUGGGAGUGAGAAUGCAGGCAUGAGUAACGUUUGGGAGGUGAGAAUCCUUCCCGCCGUAUGACUAAGGGUUCCAGGGGUAGGUUCGUCCUCUCUGGGUUAGUCGGGUCCUAAGGCGAGGCCGACAGGCGUAGUCGAUGGGUGACCAGUUCUUAUUCUGGUACCGGUUUUAUUGCGUCCAGUGUCUUCUGCGUUGAUGCUAACCAUCCUGCCUAUGCCAUAUAAGCAUGCACGGCUUUUGUUGUGUUUGUUGUUGGUGUGGGUGGCGUGGGGUCCUAAGUGUGGGAGGCAAGCGUGUUAACAGGUGUGACGCAGGGAGGUAGCUUCGCGUGCCUAAUGGCUUGGCGCGUUUAAGGGUGUGGCCCGUCCUCUAGGUAAAUCCGGGGGACAUGUAAGGGUGAGGCCUGAUGGUGACCGUUUUUAUAGCGGGAAGUAGGGUGAUCCUGUACUGCCGAGAAAAGCAUCGACGUGAGUGGUAAGACCGCCCGUACCCGAAACCGACACUGG
rnacentral:rRNA from 1 species